UGUGUCGCGACCCCUGCAAUACGGGGCCGUACGUUAUCAACACUCUGUGGUCAGUUAUUCUUGAAUAUUCUCGUGAACAGCAUGAGAUUACUAUUGUUAACAUUUGUAUUGCAUACGGCGUUUGCGCAACCUGGUUUUGGCAGGUCGUAUCUGAGAAAUUCACGGCUUUGCCACGAAUGGAGUUGCGUAAAUACGAAGCUGGGUUUGCCAGACGCCCUUCCAGAAAGAGACGGGUACGCAGCGGUCAUCAAGAGUCUUUUGCCGGAGGGCGCGUGGCGUGACAUUGUGGACCCUGCUCUAGACGUCUGCUAUGGCAUUAGAACUAGAAGAUACACUAACACGUGUCCUGGACAGGCGUUGAUGCAUUGCCUGGUUGAUCAGUUCAUUGAGCACUGUCCAGAUGAGAGUUUGCGAAAAGAUGACGCUUGCUCUCCCGUCUCGUCGCUUGCUGGGGUGAAAUACAUGUUCUCACAAAGCUUGUACGAAAACAUGGAGAAGAACUUGCCUUUAGAACGUCGGCCAGUCUGGUUUUUGAAAAAUUAUUUUAAGACGAAAUGCUGCCGCAUCCCGCCGUUCAUCAACACCACGAUUCUGACUGAAUGUGGCUUCUCAAGUCUUAUGCAGUACUAUACCCACGCACCGCAAUAUGGAACCACUAUUGCUUAUCCUAUGGUCCAUUUCGCGCCGAUUCAAGCGCCACCUACCGACGAAAAAGAUAAAGUACAUGUUGUAGACCUCAACGACGUCACUGAAGCACCUGAGGAUGUUACAGAUCCUCUAGAGUGUUGCAACAUGGAUGAGUUCAUCAAACCGGCCUGGAGGUCCGAGUGUCAGUUCGAACUGACGUGGAACGAUCAGUCCAGAUUGUCAAUAGUUGACAAACCCGCCGCCACCACUCCAGCGCCCUCUACCACUCAUAGACCAGCGAGAGAAAGAGAUAUCAUGGUUGUGCCACAAUCUUGUGAACAAGAAACCUGCGUUUUUAAGAAGUUGAAUAUAAUAUCCGACUCAGGCGCAGUAGAUAUGGACGCUUUCCUUGAAACUCCUGGACAACUUCACCGACGCGCAGCCGACGUGGAUGAAAGCCAAGGCUAGGGUGGUCACCACCUGCCUCACGAAGCCGCUGAGGGACUAUGACGCUGAAUGCGAUAUAAAUAAUGUCUUGGCGUGUACAUUCGACGUACUUACUGAGAACUGUCCUCUAACAAAGAAGAUUAAUUUAUGCAAACAUUCCAAGGACAACAGGGUGUGCCAAAUCAGUUCGUCUAAAUCCCGUCCAAAACACCGGCGUGACACAUGUUUCCUGCCCGAGAUAGUGAGUCGUGAGGUGCUGACGGAAUGCGGCUUGAAGUCUCUCACGCGAGUGGAGCAAGCGCCAGAGACACCGGUCGUCAAUAGAAAGAAGACUUUCGCGCUGGCUAAAUACUCGUGCAUAGACCAAACCCCACCCACAGGAUGUCUUAUGGGCAAGAUGGGCGUCCUCAGCAGGUACGGCUUCAUGGACCACUUCCAGAUGAAAGACCGCAUCCGCAAGUUCAGCAACGGCUUCGACGAGUGGAAGCCAUGGACUGAUGUCUACCUCGGCGCCUUUACCAACAUACCUCUAUACAGGGACUAUUGCAACUCGCCUAAGAAACUGUUGAAUCUCCUUGACGCUAUGAUUAUGACAUGCCCAGUAUCAAGAAGGAAGGACACGCCGCAGUGCGCUAAAGUCUUCACAGAGAUGACGCACUCCAUCCCAGUACAUGAGCAGAACAUAACAAAGGUGAAACUCGACCGAAUUUUGAACCACUUCCACCACGUUUUCUGGCCGGUCUCAACACAAGGCAAUCAUGCAUCUCAAAAACACUACAAAAUUGUCAAAAGCCAAUCUACGAUUAUGGAAUUUUAAAGUCCAAGAAUGAACCAAAAGUCCAGAUCAUUGAUGUGAAGCCGGUGCCUAAAAAGCCGUUGGUACUUGUUCCAGUUUAUUUGAGGUUGCCAGCGCAAAAUAACCUUUCGCGACCAUAUGCCAACGAUGGUGUUUGGAGAAGUAACCCGUUUUGGUUGCAUACUCAAAUUGCGCUGGCUCAUUUGAAUACUACCACUACCGCUUCUGCCAAUCCUACCAUUGCUACAAAAACUACUACACCCACAGCCUGAAUUCUAUAUACAAAAAUAUUUUGUACAGGUUCAAUGUACUUUAACUUGUGAAAUAACCAUAAAUAGGUAUAUAUUUUUGUGAAAUUAUCACGUACAAAAAUAAUGAUGUUAUAAGAAUUUCUAAUACGGAAUUUAUAAUAAAUAUUUUUUAACAGUUGGGCUCCACGAUAUUCGUG
rnacentral:sRNA from 1 species